UACGGAGGGAGCUAGCGUUGUUCGGAAUUACUGGGCGUAAAGCGCACGUAGGCGGCUUUGUAAGUUAGAGGUGAAAGCCCGGGGCUCAACUCCGGAACUGCCUUUAAGACUGCAUCGCUUGAAUCCAGGAGAGGUGAGUGGAAUUCCGAGUGUAGAGGUGAAAUUCGUAGAUAUUGGGAAGAACACCGGUGGCGAAGGCGGCUAUCUGGACCGACAUUGACGCUGAGGCGCGAAAGCGUGGGGAGCGAACAGG
rnacentral:rRNA from 1 species